AUGAUGGGCGCAGCGAGGAAGAUGGCGACGCUGGUCGUCUUUGGCCUGCUUAUCACCACUGUCUCUGCAGGAAGAGUGAGUAUGCUCUCCUCUCCAACAUCCGCUGAGCAUCUGGGACGCUCCUCACUUGCCUCGGUCACCACUUCCUCAAGCAGACCAACAGAAUCUACAGUUCGUAUUGAUUCUGUGAUUGGCUGCACUCCAAAGGAAGUGGCGAGAGAAUUGGUAAUCAAUUGCCGUGAGCCUGUCAAUGCUCCAAUGCCAAUUGAGGCUUGCUGCGCGGUUGCUGUCGGCACUGUUGGAAGGCCCUCCUGCUACUGCUUGGUCAAGGAGGAGGCUGCCUUCGGGAUGUCGCCGCUUUUCAACAUCAGCAACAUGGCGCAGCUGCUGGCCAGAUGUGGCGCGUCAAUCUACUUAAACAAGGCCCUCGACAACCCAUGCGAUCGGUCAUACGAUGAGAAGGAAACAGCUGAGUGCACAUCGCCUCAGAUGACACCCAAGACAGACAGUUGCAAGACCGCCAAGGUGUCAGGUUAUGUUGCCUGGAUACUGGCCGCUGUGUUCGCUGGGUUCUUGGCUUGGAUGGUAUGUUGCCAACCAGCACCGGCAGCACAAGUUGUGUACAUGCCAGAGAUUCAGUUGGUGAGGCCUAGAGGAAACCAUGAUGAAGACCAGGGACCGAGAGCAUCUGAUGCAGGGGCUGGAACUAGUGGCAGUGAUUCAUCUGAUACAGACUCUGAAGAUGGUGAAGAUGCUGUUUCGCAUACAAGUCAGGACCUCAUCCUGGAAGGGAAGAGGAACCGCAACGCGAACCCGAGGUUCGUUGGAGGUCCAUGGGUUAAGAAGUGA
rnacentral:rRNA from 1 species